AUACAACCUCGCAUGCUUACGAACUCAUGAGCCAGACUCAACACAGGUUUCCCCAGGGUGAGGCUUAUCCUUUGCACUCCAGAUGUGCUGACCUCUGCAAUUUCCCCAAAUGCGGGGAAGCUCGACUGCAAAAUUUGUGUUAGUGGGGAACUGCUUUCACGCUCUCCCCUG
ensembl:snRNA U1 U1 spliceosomal RNA